rnacentral:lncRNA from 1 species
GUUUCUGAAGAGGUUUCCAUACAUUUAACUAGUACAGCUGGGGAAAAGCAAGUGGUGUUUUUUAUUUCCCAAAUUCAUCAAUUCUGUACCUUUUAAAGACUUUUUUUUUCAAAAUCAUUCACUUACAGGAACAUUCUCCGUUCUGGCUGGCCUUCUGGACCCCAUCGUGGGUAUUGCUGAGCACAGAAUAUGCUUCUUUAUGGCUUUGGUUUCCUGCUUGCACCUGCUCCAGCAUUUGCACUGCUGUGGUUUGCAGUCCUCAGAGAGGUCAACAUCAGGACCAACACAGUCCCUGAGAAUUGAAGACUUGAUUAUGACCAUGCAUCAUGAGGUGCAGCUAUGUUCUGCUUAGACGAUUCUUCCCACAGAGCAAGGAAGAAAGAAAAACAACAAGAGGAAGGAUGUUCCAAGCUGAGUUUCCUGAUUGCCUCUCCUCCCAUCCUAGCAGCGAUCUGAUGAAGGAUGUUGUAAAGCAGAGUUGUGCUGUGGGCUCGCUCCUGGAGGAGUGAGAAGUGAAAUGAAGAGAGCUUGAUGUCUCCCUCUUGGAUGUAGUGCUCAGGGGUGGAGGGGGAACUUUG